GACCUCGACGUGUAGGCUACUCAUUGUUGGCAUGCUAGUGUAGUUUUCGUUUACAAGUGUGUAGUGCAUAUGGCUUUCUGCGUACUUUUCUGUAAACCUGUAAGUAUAUAAACACAAUAAUUAACCAAUGCAAUGUAAAAAUAUGGCCGCAACAAAAACUUUUGGAUACUAAUUAAAUUAUUCUGUUAUAAAUCAUCGCUUUAACGUUUUGAGUAUCAUCUUAACAUUAUCAAGUAAUUUCUUUAUAAUGCAUGUUAGUAAACUGUAUGUAAAGUACUUAAUGAAUUCUGAUGCCAAGAAACCUAGAAGUAGGUUACGUAUUUAUAAAAUAACAUUUGGCACAGUGAAACAAAUGUAUUGUUAGGAGUUUAGAAUUUUAAAACAUUCAGUUUGGCAUUGUACAAGUACUACCAUCUUGGGCUUGGUCAAACAAAAGUGUUUCGCGCAAUUAUAAAUUGCCGGAAUUAAAAUGAUGACUAUUAAUGCCCCUGAUUACAACCAAAUCGUUUAACAAUAGAUAGUGAUACUAUGAAUUAUGUUUUUUUAUAUGUGCUGUUCAUAUUUAGUGUUUUUAGGUAGUACAUGGUGAUAUUUUGACAGCCUAAAAGAGUGUUUUAUUUUUUUUUGUAGAAAAGUGUUUUCUCUCUUUUAGCUACUUCUUAAGUUUUGUCACCCCCAAAAUUUUGCCACCCUGCUCAUUUAUCCACUUCUUUCUGAAAAGUAAAAAUCAGUCAAAAUGUGUGUGGAUGCUGUGCGUGUUAGAUUGAUAUUCUUCACAUAAUGCUGUUUUAAUUAAUAGUUUAUACUGCCAGUCAGUACCAGACUAUCUCCAUUAAGAGUUACCUCUUUUGUUUUAGUGACUUCGACAUGAAAAGAACAAUAGACUCCUAUUUUAAUGUCGCAGCAGGGCCCAGUCAAAAACCGCGAACUGAAGCAGGCCCAUCACCAUCAGUCCAGCUGACUGAACAGAAAUGCUUUGAAAAUGAAAGUGCAGAAUUAUCCAGUCCGCAUCCAGCGAAAUCAUCCGAAAAAGUAGAACGUCACUACAACAAAAAUUGGGAACAGAAAUACAGUUGGCUGAUCUACAAUGAAGAAAAAGGAGGUGCAUUUUGUAAACUAUGUGAAAACUUCAUGAAAAAUGAUGCAAAGGUUCUGCAAAAAACAGGUGGAGUGUUUAUUACUACUCCAUUUACAUCUUUCAGAAAA